GAUGAAGAACGCAGCGAAAUGCGAUACUUGGUGUGAAUUGCAGAAUCCCGUGAACCAUCGAGUCUUUGAACGCAAGUUGCGCCCGAAGCCAUCAGGUUGAGGGCACGUCUGCCUGGGCGUCACAUAUCGUUGCCCAAUGCCUAUUGCAGUGCAAUAGGAAUUUCUAGGGCGAAUGAUGGCUUCCCGUGAGCGUUGUUGCCUCGCGGUUGGUUGAAAAUCGAGUCCUUGGUAGGGUGUGCCAUGGUAGAUGGUGGUCGAGUUAGAACGAUACCGAUCAUGUGCAUGCUCCCCAAAAUAUGGCCUCUAUGACCCACACGCGUCUUUUGACGCUCAUGACGAGACCUCAGGUCAGGCGGGGCUACCCGCUGAAUUUAAGCAUAUCAAUCAGCGGAGGA
rnacentral:misc_RNA from 1 species